rnacentral:rRNA from 2 species
GAUGAACGCUGGCGGCGUGCCUAACACAUGCAAGUCGAGCGGUACUUCGGUACAGCGGCGGACGGGUGAGUAACGCGUGGGCAAUUUGCCCUUUGCAUCGGGAUAACAGUUAGAAAUGACUGAUAAUACCGAAUAAGCGGACACUGAGGCAUCUCAGAGUGCGAAAAGAUUUAUCGGCAAAGGAGAAGCCCGCGUCCGAUUAGAUAGUUGGCGGUGUAACGGACCACCAAGUCGACGAUCGGUAGCCGGCCUGAGAGGGUGAACGGCCACAUUGGGACUGAGACACGGCCCAAACUCCUACGGGAGGCAGCAGUGGGGAAUAUUGCACAAUGGAGGGAACUCUGAUGCAGCAACGCCGCGUGAAGGACGAAGGCUUUCGGGUCGUAAACUUUUUUAGCCAGGGACGAUAAUGACGGUACCUGGAGAAUAAGCCCCGGC